ACCUGAUCCGUGCUUAGCCCUAUUACUAUCUAACCAAAAAAGCUUGUUAUCAUAAUCGGCUCAAGAUAUUAUUGGGCAUUUUGAUUCGUUUGCAGCCCUAUGAACAUUACACUUAAAAGAUUAAAACACCAACGAGAAGAAACAGCUAUGGCAAUAGAAAAAAAAGGAAAGAAAACUUAAAUGCUUCAAAUAUAUCUUGCAAUGCUUGAAACUAAUAAUGGAUGA
rnacentral:lncRNA from 1 species